GUUAAAUCUAAUUGCUAAUAUCUCACUUGUACAUAUUUACAGUUGUGAAAAAUUAGGCAAUUUUACCAUAUCAAAACAUUUCUAAAAAGUUGGUUUGAUUUAAUUACCAAUUGCUUUUCAAGUAUUUACAUUUUUCACACCUUGCAAUGGUGCCUGUUUGUGUUCUUUUGCAUGUCAAGUUGGGAACUCUCAAAUAAUUGACCUUGAGAAAUGCAGAUGAUGGACAACAGUAAUUAUAUGUUUGAACUGUGGGGAGUUUUAUUGUGUUUGAUCUCACCACAAUCUUUUUGACUUGUAGCUUUACACACUCACAGAGACUUCAACUUCCAGAACAGAACUGGCACCAUGGUGCCAAGACCCACAAGGUCAAAACUACACCGCCUAUGCAUGGUGUCUGGUCAUUAUUAUUAUUGCUGGUAUUUAUAUAGUGCCAGCAUAUUCUGUAGUGCUUUACAAUAUGAAAAAAGCCUAUUGAAAAAAGCAUCAAUUGCUACGGUUACCUGCAGAAAUGCAAUGUGAAGUCUGAAACACAAUACCUGCCUGUGCUGAUUAGCGUGUCAAGCUGGAAAUUCUGUUGCAAAAACAUGAUUUCUUUAUGUAUAAAGUCGAAGGAGGACUUCAUAAUUCUAAAAUAAUAGCCAGUUGCUGUGAAAACUGAAAUUGUAAAAUUAUUAUGUUUCAUAUAAAUAUAUAUAUAUAUAUACACUGCUCAAAAAAAUAAAGGGAACACAAAAAUAACACAUCAUAGAUCUGAAUGAAUUAAAUAUUUUUCUGAAAUACUUUGUUUUUUACAUAGUUGAAUGUGAUGACAACAAAAUCACACAAAUUAAAAAAUGGAAAUCAAAUUUUUCAACCCAUGGAGGUUUGGAUUUGGAGUCACAGUCAAAAUUAAAGUGGACAAACACACUACAGGCUGAUCCAACUUUGAUGUAAUGUCCUUAAAACAAGUCAAAAUGAGGCUCAAUAGCGUGUGUGGCCUCCACGUGCCUGUAUGACCUCCCUACAAUGCCUGUGCAUGUUCCUGAUGAGGUGGCGGAUGGUAUCCUGAAGGAUCUCCUCCUAGACCUGGACUAAAGCAUCUGCCAACUCCUGGACAGUCUGUGGUGCAAUGUGACGUUGGUGGAGACAUGAUGUCCCAGAUGUGCUCAAUUGGAUUCAGGUCUGGGGAACGGGCGAACCAGUCCAUAGCAUCAAUGCCUUCAUCUUGCAGGAACUGCUGACACACUCCAGCCACAGGAGGUCUAGCAUUGUCUUGCAUUAGGAGGAACCCAGGGCCAACCACACCAGCAUAUGGUCUCACAAGGGGUCUGAGGAUCUCAUCUUGGUACCUAAUGGCAGUCAGGCACAUGGAGGGCUGUGCGGCCCCCCAAAGAAAUGCCACCCCAUACCAUUACUGACCCACUGCCAAACCGGUCAUGCUGGAGGAUGUGGCAGGCAGCAGAACGUUCUCCACAGCGUCUCCAGACUCUGUCACGUCUGUCACAUGUGCUCAGUGUGAACCUGCUUUCAUCUGUGAAGAGCACAGGGCACCAGUGGCAAAUUUGCCAAUCUUGGUGUUCUCUGGUAAAUGCCAAACGUCCUGCACGGUGUUGGGUUGUAAGCACAACCCCCACCUGUGGACGUCGGGCCCUCAUACCACCCUCAUGGAGUCUGUUUUUGACCAUUUAAGCAGACACAUGCACAUUUGUGGCCUGCUGGAGAUCAUUUUGCAGGGCUCUGGCAAUGCUCCUCCUGUUCCUCCUUGCACAAAGGCAGAGGUAGCGGUCCUGCUGCAGGGUUGUUGCCCUCCUACGGCCUCCUCCACGUCUCCUGAUGUACUGGCCUGUCUCCUGGUAGCGCCUCCAUGCUCUGGACACUACGCUGACAGACACAGCAAACCUUCUUGCCACAGCUCGCACUGAUGUGCCAUCCUGGAUAUGCUGCACUACCUGAGCCACUUGUGUGGGUUGGAGACUCCGUCUCAUGCUACCACUAGAGUGAAAGCACCACCAGCAUUCAAAAGUGACCAAAACAUAAGCCAGGAAGCAUAGGAACUGAGAAGUGGUCUGUGGUCACCACCUGCAGAACAACCCGUUUAUUGGGGGUGUCUUGCUAAUUGCAUAUAAUUUCCACCUGUUGUCUAUCCCAUUUGCACAACAGCAUGUGAAAUUGAUUGUCACUCAGUGUUGCUUCCUAAGUGGACAGUUUGAUUUCACAGAAGUGUGACUGACUUGGAGUUACAUUGUGUUGUUUAAGUGUUCCCUUUAUUUUUUUGAGCAGUUUAUAUAUAUAUAUAUAUGUAUAUAUAUAUAUAUUAUUUUUUAAUUUUAAUAUAGAACAUGAUAUUUAUACCAUUGGAUUGAAAAGCCAUUUUUAGAAUGACUGGCUAUUUUUUUUUUUUUUAGAAUUAGAAUUACACGUUAGACUAUAAAACAACGUUUUACUAUAACUGGUGUAAAGCUGUUAGAAUAUGAUCUUUUAAGAUUAGACAGUAACCUCAAUAAAAAGGUUUUAGGGUAAUAAUGGUUCAGUAAGUACGUUUAUGUUACUUUUUAUUAGCUGAAAACCUCCUUUCUUCCUAAUAUUUGAUUAAAUGCAUUGACCGUUGAACAUGUAAUGUGAUUAUGUUGUAUUCAUGUACAGUGUUUAAUAAGGUAUGUUUAUGUUAUAUUGUGCAAUCUUUUCA
rnacentral:lncRNA from 1 species